ACGCAUCACAGGUGAAUUUACAACCGAGAUACAUCAUGUCGACCACAAUCACCCUGCUUUUGUGCCUGGCUCUCUCAGCUGCUUUUGGUCUGCCUGCUGAUGAGUCUGGCCCCGUAAGCAUCAAUAAACGCAACAUUGACAACACUCGG